GACGAACGCUGGCGGCGUGCUUAACACAUGCAAGUUGGACGGUACGACAUGGAAGCUUGCUGAAGUGUCGUACAGUAGCGAACGGGUGAGUAAUGCAUGAGAAUCUGCCCUUUGGAGGGGGACAACAGCUGGAAACGGCUGCUAAUACCCCGUAAGCCGGGAGGUGAAAGGUACGCGAGUACUGCCGGGGGAUGAGCUCAUGUCCUAUCAGCUGGUUGGUGGGGUAACGGCCCACCAAGGCGACGACGGGUAGCCGGCCUGAGAGGGUGACCGGCCACACUGGAACUGAGACACGGUCCAGACUCCUACGGGGGGCAGCAGUGGGGGAUCCUGCACAAUGGGCGAAAGCCUGAUGCAGCGACGCCGCGUGAGCGAAGAAGGCCUUCGGUUGUAAAGCUCUGUCUGGAGGGACGAACAAAAUAGACGGUACCUCCGGAGGAAGCCACGGCUAACUACGUG
rnacentral:rRNA from 1 species